CAAUAGCGUAUAUUAAAGUUGUUGCGGUUAAAAAGCUCGUAGUUGGAUUUCUGCCGAGGACGUCCGGUCCGCCCUCUGGGUGAGUACAUGGCACGGCCUGGGCAUCUUCUUGGGGAACGUAUCUGCACUUGACUGUGUGGUGCGGUAUCCAGGACUUUUACUUUGAGGAAAUUAGAGUGUUUCAAGCAGGCACACGCCUUGAAUACAUUAGCAUGGAAUAAUAAGAUAGGACCUCGGUUCUAUUUUGUUGGUUUCUAGAGCUGAGGUAAUGAUUAAUAGGGAUAGUUGGGGGCAUUCGUAUUUAACUGUCAGAGGUGAAAUUCUUGGAUUUGUUAAGGACGGACUACUGCGAAAGCAUUUGCCAAGGAUGUUUUCAUUGA
rnacentral:rRNA from 1 species